GUCGAUGUAGCUCAGACGGAUAGAGCAUCUCACUCCUAACGAGAAGGUCCCCAGUUCGACUCUGGGCAUCGACACAA
rnacentral:tRNA from 5 species